UACGAAGGGGGCUAGCGUUGUUCGGAAUCACUGGGCGUAAAGGGCACGUAGGCGGCUUUAUAAGUCGGGGGUGAAAGCCUGUGGCUCAACCACAGAAUUGCCUUCGAUACUGUAGAGCUUGAGACCGGAAGAGGUAAGUGGAACUGCGAGUGUAGAGGUGAAAUUCGUAGAUAUUCGCAAGAACACCAGUGGCGAAGGCGGCUUACUGGUCCGGUUCUGACGCUGAGGCGCGAAAGCGUGGGGAGCAAACAGG
rnacentral:rRNA from 1 species